rnacentral:rRNA from 1 species
GACGAACGCUGGCGGCGUGCCUAAUACAUGCAAGUAGGACGCAGUUGCGAACGGGUGAGUAACGCGUAGGUAACUACCUAUUAGAGGGGGAUAACUAUUGGAAACGAUAGCUAAUACCGCAUACUAGUAGAUGGACCUGCGUUGUAUUAGCUAGUAGGUAGGGUAAUGGCCUACCUAGGCAACGAUACAUAGCCGACCUGGGGAGGUGAUCGGCCACCCUGGGACUGAAGCCCGGCCCAGACCCCUUCUGGAGGGCGCAGUAGGGGAAUGUAGGCAAUGGGGGGAACCCUUACCGGGCAACGCCGCGUGAGUGAAGAAGGGUUUCGGAUCGUAAAGCUCUGUUGUUAAGGAAGCGGUACUUAACCAGAAAGGGACGGCUAACUACGUGCCAGCAGCCGCGGUAAUAC